rnacentral:tRNA from 1 species
GGAGAGAUAGCGAAGAGGCUAAACGCGGCGGCCUGUAAAUCCGCUGCUUCGGGUUCGGGGGUUCGAAUCCCUCUCUCUCCA